GAGCAACUCCAACUCUCCAAUAUAUCCUCGUAACAGAGAAACCAACACAACCCCGCUACGGACUCUCAUCCGAGUCGAGGAGCAGCGGCCGCCCCUUCCCGCGCCGGCACGGACGCCGCUCCCGCCAGGAAUAUCUUUAUUAUCUAAAGAUAGUGCAUUGUGCUAAGUAAAAAUGGUUUUGGGAUUGAUAAAUGCUAACCCUGUAAUCCAUGAGAAAAAAGAGAGGCGCGUACGACAGGCACCGGAGACCACAGAUGAAAAUGCAGUAGAGCCUAUAGAUCAGCUGGAAAUAUUUGAUCACAUUAGAGAUAUAAAGGAUCCAGAGCACCCAUAUUCAUUGGAACAGCUGAAUGUGGUAACUGAAGACUCAGUUGAACUGAAUGAUGAAAGAAAUUAUGUCAGGGUUACCUUCACCCCCACAGUGGAGCACUGCAGUAUGGCAACUGUUAUUGGCCUCUGCAUACGCGUGAAACUCAUUCGGAGCCUCCCUCCUCGUUACAAGGUGGACAUAAGGGUAGCCCCUGGAUCACACUCCACAGAAGCUGCUGUGAAUAAGCAACUGAACGACAAGGAACGUGUUGCGGCUGCACUGGAAAACCCAAACCUACUGGACAUGGUCGAAGAGUGCUUGUUGCCAACAUUUGACUGAGGCUUGAACAUAUCUCGGCCGAGCUCACACAAGCUCACACUCCUGUCUUUUGAGAAUUGGGAUGCCUUGGCUGUUGCAGGAGGUGUGCAUGAAUUUUAGUUAUCCACUCCUUUUAAGUUAUUUUAUUAUUACUUUUUUUUCCUGGACGGCUUUGGUGCUUGUGAUCUUCCUGAACGAAGGGCAUGUAUAGUGUAUACCCAAACAAUCAACUGAGCUUAGUAGGAGAAUACGGGAAUCCCCAAAUAUCAAGUUGUUUCUCUUUCUUUAUU